rnacentral:lncRNA from 1 species
GGAUCUAGUCUGUGGCUACAUGUCUAGAAUGAAAAUAAUGUCAGAAGUAUGGUUCUCUACAUAAUUUUAUCUUAACAUCUGACUAUCUAAUAAUUAGCCUGAUUAUCUAACAAUCUAAAUCAGUUGUCAUGAUACUGAAAAUAUCAAACUUUCUACCUUCCAGUUAAUUUCCUUAUCUACAUUUUCAUAGAAUACCAAGAUUCUUUUUUAAUGAAAAAGAAAGAUGGGGGACUAUUAUCUCCUAGCCCCUGAAUUCUGGAGUCUUCUAAUGAUUAUUUUUACCAAGUAAAUAAAUCCAAGAGUCAACGAAAUGUGGUUUACUGCUAUGCUUCCUGGAAUUUCUUGCAGAAUUAUAGCAUCUCAGAGUUGGAAGGAAUUCUUCAUAUGACCACACUGAAUUCUUUUCCUGUCGGUCUGCAUCACAUUUGUGAAGGGAGAAUCCCAGAAGAGAGGAAAGACAAGAUGCCACCUCGUACUGUAGAAGUCGAAGAGGGCAGAGUUUCUCCCUUUGCCCCGGCAACGAGGAAAUUAGAACAUCACCUGGCCUCGGCAGAUCAAAGGCCCCACUUGGGACGUGCCACCUGUUGGGAAGCACAAGCCUCCAGCAGAGGUGGAUUUGAGGGUCCAGCAGCAUGGCAAUGACCUUGCAGGGGGACACAGCCCAGCUGCAUUAUGACAACUGUCCAGCUGUGACAGCACCAGUGGCAGCAUCCUAAACAGACGAUCCCGUGGCAAAACCUCCGCUGUGCCUCUUGAUUUUCAUUCACUCCAGUCACCUGGUUCUCUAGUCGUCCCACUGACUGUGAGCUGCAAGGUAUUCUUCCAGUAAAUUCAACUUCUGCUCAAGUCGGAAGAGAUUUUCGUUGGUUGCAGCCAGGAAAUCUGACUGGUAUGCCAGUCUUUCCUGUGUGGAUACAAGCUCCAAUAACAGCUUGGUAUGGUGGCCUUGACUGGGCCAUUUCCUUCUCUCAGGUUGACCUUGCAACCAUGCAUGAAUUGCAUGCUUUGCUUUCUCUGAAAUCUGGAGCUGUGUGUACUCCGAGGACAGAUAACAGGGGACCUUAGAAAACAAGUGCCCCAACAAACUAGGAAAAAUAACUGGAAAAGGGAGGGUGCCUCUGAUGCCUUCUUUGCAGGGAGGUGGAUAUGAUCACUCAAGAACAAAUGAAAUCAACUUUGUCUAUUGAUUCUUUUGUGGGGGGUGGGGGGGCACCUGUGGCAUGCAGAAGUUCCUGUACCAGGGAUCGAACCCGUACCCCAGCAAAGAUCCGAGAUGCUGCCGUGACCAUACCGGGUCCUUCACCCGCUGUGCCUUAAGAGAACUCCUGUAUAUUGAUUCUUUUUUUAUCUUUUUUUUUUUUUGCUAUUUCUUGGGCCGCUCCCGCGGCAUAUGGAGGUUCCCAGGCUAGGGGUCCAAUCGGAGCUGUAGCCACCGGCCUACACCAGAGCCACAGCAACGUGGGAUCCAAGCCGCGUCUGCAACCUACACCACAGCUCACGGCAACGCCGGAUCCUUAACCCACUGAGCAAGGGCAGGGACCGAACCCGCAACCUCAUGGUUCCUAGUCGGAUUCGAUAACCACUGCGCCAUGACGGGAACUCUUGAUUCUUUUUUUAAAAUGAAGUUUAUUUUGUUUUUUAGCCCCAGUAUAGAAAAAAUUCACAUUCAUUGCAGAAGAAUGUGAAAGAAGGGGGAAAAAAUUACCUGUCAUUCUACCAGCCACCAAUAGACACAGCUGAAGUUUUGGUGUGUCUUUCUAAUAUUUUCUAUGAAAAUCUUUGCAUAGCUAUGAUUAGCCUAGUCUAUUGCUUAUUAAAAUUAGGAAAAGAACAAACAUUUCCUUUACAGAUAGAUAGAUAGAUAGAGACAGACAGAGAUACAUACCCCCAGCUGCUAAAUAUAGGAUGGUGAACUCUGUCUUUUGGUUGAAAGGAACAUUUCUCAAAAUGUGUCCCAUGGAACACGUAUGCCUCUAUUUCUUAACAGCUGUUGUGGAUCUGCUAUAAAAAGAAAUGUUCUCAAGCAGAUAAGUUUGGGAACUACCGAGUUCAAGUUGAACACAUUCAUUGCAUGAAUCUUCAGAGCUUCUGACAGAUUCGAGUGCAGUGUGACUUAAACAGAGGAGCAUUUUUGGCGUUCCUAUUAUGGCUCAGCAGUAGCAAACCCAACUAGUAUCCACGAGGCUGCGGGUUCAAUCCCUGGCCUCUCUCAGUGGGUUAAGGGUUGGGCGUUGCCACGAGCUGUGGUGUAGGUGAAGAUCCUGCGUUGCUGGGGCUGUGACGUAGGCUGG